UCUAAUCUUACAUAGACAGUGGGUGUAUAGAAAAUGGAUGUGCUCAAACUUGUUCCUUGUUUAUGAAUCGAAAACUUGUAUAUUUCAGGUUGAAAGCAUAUCGGAGGAGGAGCUCAAGGGAGAAGGGAGAGAACCAGUUCCUCCAAGUGCGCUGCCGUGGCAGAGUGGGUGACCUGCUGCUCCUGCUCCCCUCCGAUGGACACGCUGACGACCGGCUGAUGCUGACCGAACCCCUCCGCCGCUGCUUUACCCGACGGUCGGCUUUGCAGGAUGUUAUGGUUGCUUCGGAUCUCAAGGCUGGUUGGAGUCGUUGACCACCGCCGUGGCCUCGACACUACCAUGCAGGACCUUGUCGACCUCAACAUCGAAAGGUUGCGACCACGCCAGAGACCGACUUGCGGGUAGCUGACGGCGUUGUCAUGAGGAGCUGGUGUGGCUGCAUAAGGCCUUCUACCUCGGAGGUUGGCUCCCGUCAUAUAAUGGCAGGAAGAGCAUGUACACGUCCAGGCUGCUGCUGUUUACCUCAGAAUGAGUUUCAUAUCACCUUUCUCAACGAAGAUGAUGUUCCGGCAUGAUAGGACUUUCAAGGUGGUGAUCAGGUUCGCGACAAGGGACGAUCUUCACCAGAUCGAGCAGUACAUAGCUGCAAGGCAGGCAAAGGAUCGCUGAGAGGCCCUGCAGGUUUUUCAUAUCCUCCUCCAUGAGCUGCCAAUUGCUAGGUACGAGCCGUAUGGCCAAUCCUUCUUCUCACCAGACCUGGGGUGGAGGGGGUCCUUCGGUGAUGGAGUGGAGAGCUGGCGCAGGUUUUAUCUGAGCAUAAGGCCUACUCAGAUGGGAUCGAGUAUCAAUAAGAAUUGCUGCAUUCAGAAAUGAACUCUUCUGAUGUGAUAUGCAUAUUCAAGGUUUCGAUAGCCAGUGGCCGGAUUUUGUACUAUCUAGCUAGCAUAGCAAGUAGUGAUAGUUUGAGGUUUAAUGCAAGUGUUGAACUUCCGAAGUGAUAUGCAUGAGAUGUGUUGUUGUCAUUUAUUGUAGGAUGCAUUCACAUAGUUCUGUUACUUUUAUACUAUUUUGGAUAGGGAUGCCUGAUUGCCUGUUUGUUGCUGUUUAAUCGGUAAUUAAUAUUUCAUAUUUAAUACUUCCCUCGUUAUAUAUGUUUGCUGCAAUGAACAGGGGCUCCAUGGUGCUCGGCACCGUGGUCCUUUGGUAUGUGUUAUCUGGAAAUUUUUGAAAUUUUGUAUGUUUCCACUGGUGUUCUUGUUCUAGCCAUGACACUCAGAACUGGUGUUCUUAUGGCAGAGAUGCAUAUUUAAGGUUUUGAUAUUCAGUGAAUGGACUUUAAACUAGCAUAAUCAAUGAUAAUUUAAAAUGCAAUACAACUUUUAUUUGCAUUCAAGCUUCCUUUGAUAUGUGAUGUUACUGUUCUACAUGGUAGUAUGCACUCACAUCGUUAUGUCACUUUGAACUUCUAAGCUAAUGUACAUGGGGGCCAGCUUCUUCGCAGGAUGCCGUGUUCGUGCCGGAUCCCAUGGGCUGGUUGGAGUAGUUGAACACCGCUGUGACCCAGACGCUACCGUU